CAGUCAGUCCUGACUCAGCUCAGCAGUCUCCAGUCUACCAACUGGUCUCUGUAAUAACUAUUUAAAGCAGUCUGUCCUGACUCAGCUCAGCAGUCUCCAGUCUACCAACUGGUCUUUGUAAUAACUAUUUAAAGCAGUCUGUCCUGACUCAGCUCAGCAGUCUCCAGUCUACCAACUGGUCUCUGAAAUAACUAUUUAAAGCAGUCUGUCCUGACUCAGCUCAACAGUCUCCAGUCUACCAACUGGUCUCUGUAACUUCAUCUUUGUCUCUGUGGUGUUCAGUCUUCAGGUGAUGAUGGGGGUAUUGAAUCAUCUCUCUACUCUCCUCCUUCUCUCUCUCCUUCUUCCUGCUCUCUCUCAUGUAGUGGAGAAGUUCAGUGAUGUUAAAGAUUGUGAGAAGUUCUUCCUGGAGGGGACAACUCCAAAUCUCCCAGGUAUUUUGGUUGGUGGGACAGUCCAGGACCAGAACCGCUACAAGCCGAUUUGCCAGUUUUACAAGGACAGCUUGAAGAUCUAAAAAAACAACCUGACAUGAAGGUGGAUAAUAAAGCUGUCACACACCAGGCUGUGGACACAGACUACGAAAAUAACAACAAGCAUCUGGACAGAGGUCACCUAUUCCCAUGUUCACACGCACUUGAUGAUGCUGCCAAGAGGUCCACUUUCACCCUGACAAACGCCGUUCCCCAGAACGAAAAGUUCAACCGAGGCAGCUGGAAGACAAUGGAGUGCAGAGUCAGAAAAUAUCUUGUGGAGAACUGUAAGGAUAACAACAACAAGAUAAAGGCCUAUGUGGUGACUGGAGCAGUUCCCAGCAGCAGCAACACACUGAACAACCGAGUGAACAUCCCAGAUCUCAUGUGGACAGCCUACUGCUGUUACAACAACAACCUGAAACAGUGGGUGGCCCAAGCACACUGGAGUAAGAACGUACAGGACACCAACAAAAAACAUUGACACCGGAAACCUUGGGAGCACUUGAAGGCGAGUUGAAGAACAGCUACAAGGUUGAUGGUUUUCAGGUGUUCCCAAAGAACUGUCCAAGAACCGUUAUUCUGAGUGUAUUAGAGGACGAGACAGGGAGGAACUUAGAGGGUGUAGAAGAGGUUGAGCCGGGGAAAAAGAGGGGCAGGGAAGGGAGCGGAGAGGGGAGCGGAGAAGGGAGCAAUAAGAUGGCGAGAACAUCAGGGGAGUUAAAGGAAUGUGAUGAUGAGGAUGGAUGUGACUGUGACUGUGAUGAAAAGUGAUGAGUUUUGUCCAGUGGUAAUUCCCACAACUAUUGCGUUCACAUCCCCUAAGUUACAAGGGUUAUAAUGGUUAAGUAAUAAGGGUUAUAAUGGUUAUAAUAAAAGGUAUAAGGGUUAUAAUGGUUAUAAUUAAACAAGUUUAAGGGUUAUAAAGGUUAAAGACCAGCUCUGUUGCUUUGGCGACUAAGAAAGUAUAUUUUUAAACCUCCCACUUUGGGCUGGAUGUAUCAAUGUGUCGUUCAUACAUGUAGAAUCUAUCAGCAGAAUUACUGUUUCCCUACAUUUCACCCCCCUAGCAAUUUGAGUCUUAGCCAUUGAGCAUCAGCCCCUCACAUUUGAGUGGGAACUAGUGUGGUGGCAGAAUUAGUGUUGAAUUGUUGUAACUUCUCAAUGGACAUGUUCUGUGUUGGACUGUGAUGUCAUGCCUUCCAUAGAGUCCUGGUAUGUCUGUACCUAAACACAAGGCCAUUGUGUUCUGGAAUUGUUGCUUGUAGAAAAUAACUGUUGCUGGUGUCGUGUCUUUGGGCACCAUUAAACUGAAGACAUGUUUAUCAAA